GCCUGGCUGGCUUAGUCAGUAGAGCAUGUGACUCUCAAUCUCAGGGUUGUAAGUUCAAGCCCCACAUUGGGCA
rnacentral:tRNA from 1 species